GCCGCCUUUGCGGGAGAAGGAAAGGAGAAAAGAGGUCAGCGGGAGCACCUCGGCAGCAAUCCUCCAUUGCCAGACAGCACAGCUGAGCUCUACAUACAGCAGGAGGGAUGGAGCCUGGAGUUGGUCUGGGGAAUAAAGAAUGGGAUGAAAUGGUGAGAGUCCAGAGGGGUUGAGCAAAGAACUCACUAUCACACAGCAAGGCACUAAUGUGAAAUUCCUGGGAGAAGUAGAAGCUGCAUUUGUCUCUCAUAUUCUUAUUGGACCAGGAAGGCAGGAGGAGACACCAGUGUGCACCAGAGAAGGAGAAGUCAGACAUGACAGUCCCUGCCUGAGGCCAUCUCUGGUCCACCAGACAACUCAUCACCAACUUCCCAACAGCCACUGCUCUAGGCCAGGUGUCCACGUGGGGAAUAGGUCCAGGCCCUCUAUGGCUCUCGCAGGAGUCAGGGAGGCAGAUAAAUAACAUAUCACGAAGACAGAAUGUAAGAAAUGCCUGGGAGGAGGCAUACUGAUGCGUGGAAAGUACUCAGCCAGAAGCCUGGCACUAGAAGGGCCCAGGGAUUGUUGGCAUGUAUGAGUCACAGUUCCAUUUCAGUGGAGUGAGCAGGGAGAGAAUCUCCUGGAAGCAGGUGAAUAGAGAAAAUACAGCCUCUUCCUUACCUUUGAAUUUUUUCAGGCUCCCUGUGAUGGAGUCAUGUCUUGAUUUUGCUUCACUGAGUUUUUUCUCCAGUUCCAGAGGAACAGGGGUUGGGUUGAGAAACUGAAACUCUUCACUUCUAGGAAGAUGUGGUUGAGCUGGUUGGUGAGAUCAGGGGAUGAGGUGUGGGAGAAGGAGGAUCUGAGACAUGGGGUUGAGAAAUGAGGGGAUGAAGACCUGGGGGUAGAACUGAGAGCGGUGGCUCACACCUGUAAUCCCAGCACUUUGGGAGGCUGAGGCGGGUGGAUCACCUGAGGUCAGGAGUUCGAGACUAGCCUGGCCAACAUGGUAAAACCCGGUCUCUACUAAAAAUAUGAAAAUUAGCCAGGCUUGGUGGCAAGCGCCUGUCGUCUCAGCUACUUGGGAGGCUAAGGCAGGAGAAUCACUUGAACCUGGGAGACAAAGGUUGCAGUGAGCUGAGAUUGCACCACUGCACUCCAGCCUGAGCAACAAGAGCAAAGCUCCAUCUCAACAACAACAAAAAAAAGAAGACCUGGCGGUUAAGGGAUAGUGAGCUGGGAGUCAGAAAGUCAGGGCUAGGGAUAUGGGGCAGGAGUGAGGUAGGGCAUAGGGAGAUAUGGAAAUGAAGAUGGGAGAUGGAGACAGAGAGGAGGGAAAAAAACAGGGUCAGGGAGACAGAGUAGGGGACCCAGGAGCUAUUCAGUUGAGCAAGGGGGCAUUCAGGAAAUAGUAGAAUCUGUGCUGAAGAAGGAGGAAGCCUGAGAAAACGGCUGGUUUCUUUAACAACCAACCACGUGCUAAUAUGGUUGGCAUAGGCAUUCCCCAGCUGCAGCCUAAAUGUAUGAAUGCAAAGUUAGAGGUGGGUGGGUAUUUCUGAGAGAGGAAUGUUGACUGCAUUUGGAUAUACGCUGAGAAUUGUAUGUGGAUGAAUCAGUAGGCAAAAUACAUUUGGGGUGGCCCAUCAUACCUGCACAGGACGACUUUGAUAUCCUAGAAGAGAAAGAGAAACAGCACAGCCUCAGCACUUGGCUGAUUCCCAGGAGCCAAGGAGGAGAUACAGAGCCUGCUGGGUGUGGGGCAGAGCAGGAGGAGUAAGAACCCCUCCAAGUCUCUCUUACCCCAUCCUCCUCCCCUCUCCCCACCACGAAGGGCUUCUCCAAGAAGCACUGCUCUGCCAGUAAGCAGAAAAGUGUUUUGACCUCAAGAAGAACUGAGUGAAGAAGAGAAGAGUGAGAUUUAGAAGAUGAAUUUGGCUCUGAGACUGAACAAGGGAGCCCUGCUAGCCAGGGCAGGAGAAAGGCUAGAAUGGCUUUGCAUGAUCUUUCUUAAAAUAAAUAAAUAGGUUUUUGAACCUGUGGGAGAAUAGA